GAGAGAGGAAAGAUCCAGAGAGAGACUAAGGUUUCAGAGGGACGCGAUGCUGUGGCCAGAAGCUAUAUAAAUGAGGUCAGGCACGGAAGAAAACCAGGGUGAGCCGAGACAGUGGAAGGAAGAAAAGGAGGCGCACUACUCCCCAUGGCCUUGCACGAUACUUUCGAUCUUCUUCUGAUCACCGUGGCAUGGACGUCGCAACUUUGGGCUUAAUUUACAUCGGCCGUUUGGGUGAGUGAUCUCCAUGUUAUGCUCGUCACGUGAACAGUCCUACGCUUUUUGGGCCUCGCUCUCGUUGUCUGUUCGACCUUGAUCAUCAUCAAGCUUGGAUCUUGGAGGGUAGUACAUCUCUAUCUAUCGAUCUAUCUAUCUAUAUCUGAGACGAAACUACGAGCAAGCACAUGAGAAGUCACGUAUCAACAGUCUCGUAACUUAGUGUAGUAAGAGAAAUCAGCAGUAUAUAUGUAUAUAUAGUUAGUACUUAUAAAUACAAGAUGUUCAAUGUAAGUAGAUAGAGGAGACGUCUGCAUGCUUCACGAUUGUGUUCUUGGUAUUCUCGAAAGCUUAUAGAAUUGCACUGUUCAUGACACAUCUGUUUCCCUCUCAUGCACCCCCACAAAUAUACACCAAUUCAACGAUUCUAAGUUGUUUCCAUACAACCAAUUACGUGCAUACAGCUACAUGGUGUGACAUAAGUCAUCAUUUUAAAAUGGCUUCUUUUUGUUAACACGUACAUAUAUAUAUAAUCAUAUAUGGAUUAUGAAAUCCUGAAUGAAUGAUGUGUUGGAAAGUUUGGAAGAAAGUGGUGGAUGCACUAUUAAAUUGAAGAGUGGUAGGGAUGUAAGAGGAAGGAGACUUAAUGUCUAUGUUUGAAAUGGUUUUUGUUUUAGUAGCCACUGUCUUCUGUGUCCUGUCCGGUUAUACGGCAGAAAUUGAUGUGAUUGUCCGGACCCUUUUGUGUUUGUUUUCUUCAAUGCAAGUUGGUAGAUGAUGACUGCAUUGGAUUUCCAUGUCUCCCUCAUAAUCUAACUAUUUCCUCUAUUUUAGCUAUUUCAUUGGCAGGAGACUUUUGUUGACCAGGAUUUUAAAUCCGCAGACCUGAGGUCCAACCUCCACUUCUUGCCGGCCUUUUAACAUCAGAAUCAGAUCCUCCUUUUUUAAGACAACGGGUGUCAUGCAGACUGGGAUUUUUGGCCGGCUUCAGAUUUGAGGUCUGGGGCUAUCGGACACCCAUCAUAGGAGGCGUUUGCUUCCCUCGGAUCUGAGAUCCCAGACCAAGGAUUUGAGGUCAGACCCCCUUCCCAUUCUGAGGUUUUGGCCACAUAUUGAGAUUCUCAAAUCCUCAUUUUUCUAUAGAUCUGAAGUCCAGUGUUCAGUUCUUUACUUUAUGACCUUAGAUAGAAGGGAUUUCAAAUCAGCCUCCUCCCAUCUCAAUCCGAUCUAAUCCAAUGUCACAGAUGGAACACGAAAUUCAACCUGAGUUUAUCCCCCAGACACAUUUUGUAUUUUCUAAUUUUGGUUAUUGAAAUACACUUUGUCUUGAAGAAAGCGAUUAAAUUUUUGGAGGAGAUUUUUCUCUGAAAGAACAAAGAACAGCUGCGUUCCUAAUGAUGAUGUAAGUAAGCGUAUGCAGAGAUCGUAUGUAAGUCAGACAUUCAUUUUUUUUUACCAAAAACUGGAAUUGUUACAACAGCUUGAUUACUAUUUUUAUGUUCUCUCUGGUUGAUUGUUGAAGAGAUGAAGUUAAAGCAAUUUCAUAUUUAGUACCCGCAUUUCUCGUUUUGUUUACAUGAGAGAAAUGAUAAAAAACAAAGAAAUAUCUUCGUUAGUUUCGUUCUUGAAGGCUUUAGGCAAAUAAUAGUUAAUAGUUAAACAGAUCAGGUUGUACAUUAGGUAAAUCUUCGAAACAAUAAUAUUCUACUUGAGUUUUAGCAAAAUUCAAGUAGAUUUCUUUCUUUGAUUCACUUCUCAUGUGCAAGUAACCACAACGACUCGCAUUCGUGAAGACCCGUGAGCGGUCCGAAAAAGGUUACAGAUUAAAGCAUAGAUAUUAUAUCAAAUAAAAUACGUUAAUUACUAUCAUCUAACUACGAGAUGCAAGUAGAGAUGAAAAGAAGUCGAGCAGACAACGAAAAUGAGGCGAAAGCAAGGAUUGCCUGCGUGACAAAGCAUGUACAUGGAAAUCGACACCCCCAAGCCGGAGAAGAUGAAGCUGCUCCAUCGGAAGUUGGACAAUUCAUUUAAAGUUUUGGCUGCCUAGGAGGGAAUCCUAUUGCUGGAACGAGUCCCUAUGGUACACUCUUCAACUCAUGUCUUGCAUGUUAUUGUUCGCGGUUCAGAAAAGAAUAGCACCGUGGAAAUCGAAUUGAAGACACAUCGCCACGCCACUCAGAUUGACCAGCUAUGGUAUGCCUCUCAGGGGGCAAUUCUUGUAAAGCUUCAAUGGCAUGAGGUAAGAGAAGGGUGCUACAUCGCCCAUUUCACAUGCAUUUUGACUCGGCAAAUAUGUCCAGAAUAUUGUUCUGAGCUAGAAAUAGAAUAGAAUUGUGUAAAUGGGAUAUGUAGAAUGAAGUUUAUAAGAAUGUAAGAUUGAUGGUAUUUAGUUUUUUUGAGUCAACAAAUCUGAUUUAAGCACUACAAAUUUUUUUCAUGAUUUUUUC